GUUGGUGGGAGAACGUCGUGUUGUUGUUUGUGCCGAACGCGUCGCGCCGCUUGUUGUGAUAUAUACAACGUGACAGCCGCUGCUUAUCACCAUGAAUGAAGAGAACCUUCAUCUCGCCCAGGCUAUGGUUGGUAUGGAUUUAGAAGACCGGCCACAGUCUCCAAAGAAAACUGUUGUAGGAAGAGUGCAAGAGAAGCUUCAAGGUUUCAGAGAUAGCAGUGCCACACCAGUGUCGCCAGCGCGAAUCGAUACCACAGAUAUUAUGGAGGGCUUCCUGCAGUCUGCAACAACCAACAACUCCAGAAGACCACGCCUUCCUGUCAGUACAGCAGCACCGUCGCGAUGAGGUCAACAUAAUGACGAACAUGCAAGAGCCCAGCCCAGGUCGUGACGUUAUCUGGAGGAGUCAACAUCGUAGUGUAGA